rnacentral:rRNA from 1 species
UACGUAGGGUGCAAGCGUUGUCCGGAAUUAUUGGGCGUAAAGAGCUCGUAGGCGGUCUGUCGCGUCUGCUGUGAAAACCUAGGGCUUAACUCUGGGGCGUGCAGUGGGUACGGGCAGGCUAGAGUGCGGUAGGGGAGACUGGAAUUCCUGGUGUAGCGGUGAAAUGCGCAGAUAUCAGGAGGAACACCAAUGGCGAAGGCAGCUCACUGGGACGGUAUUGGACGCUGAGACGCGAAAGCGUGG